rnacentral:rRNA from 1 species
CAAUAGCGUAUAUUAAAGUUGUUGCAGUUAAAAGGCUCGUAGUUGGAUUUCGGGGCAGCCUGGCUGGUCCGCCGCAAGGCGAGUACUGGUCAGCCGCCCUUCCUCUCGAAAGCCCCGACUGCUCUUUACUGUAGUGGUCGGGUAGUUCGGGACGUUUACUUUGAAAAAAUUAGAGUGUUCAAGGCAGGCCUACGCCUGAAUACAUUAGCAUGGAAUAAUGGAAGAGGACCUCGGUCCUAUUUUGUUGGUUUCCAGGGCCGAAGUAAUGAUUAAGAGGGACAGUUGGGGGCAUUCGUAUUUAAUUGUCAGAGGUGAAAUUCUCGGAUUUAUGAAAGACGAACAACUGCGAAAGCAUUUGCCAAGGAUGUUUUCAUUAA